rnacentral:rRNA from 1 species
UACGUAGGGUGCGAGCGUUGUCCGGAAUUAUUGGGCGUAAAGGGUGCGUAGGCGGCGCGGUAAGUCGGGUGUGAAAUUUCGAGGCUUAACUUCGAAACUGCAUUCGAUACUGCCGUGCUAGAGGACUGGAGAGGAGACUGGAAUUUACGGUGUAGCGGUGAAAUGCGUAGAUAUCGUAAGGAAGACCAGUGGCGAAGGCGGGUCUCUGGACAGUUCCUGACGCUGAGGCACGAAGGCCAGGGGAGCAAACGGG